UCCAUAAGCUAUAAAGACCUUGACAAAGAUGUGACUGAAAACAUUGUAGUGAAACAGCAAACUAGUUUUUGUUUCAAAGAUGGCAAAGCUUUCUCCCUCCUUUUACUUCCUUUUGGCGUUCCUUAUUGUUAUCUCAGAUGGUUUCAAGGUGAAUGCAGACACCUGCUACAUGUCUACGGGGGACUGCCCAAGUGAGGACAUAUGCAAAGAACAGUGCGCAACAAAAUACCCAGGGAGCGAGGGAUUUUGUCAGACAAUUAUUUAUCCCUUUAAACAAUGCAUGUGCAAAAUUUGUUGAUGGAAUGAUACUUUGAAUGGUGGUGGGGUUCAAUGUCUUUGUCCUAAUAAAUGAAUAAGACCAUUGUUAAUAUUC